rnacentral:rRNA from 1 species
UUGGAGGGCAAGUCUGGUGCCAGCAGCCGCGGUAAUUCCAGCUCCAAUAGCGUAUAUUAAAGUUGUUGCAGUUAAAAAGCUCGUAGUUGAAUUUCGGGGUCAGUAGGUUGGUCGUGCCACUGGUAUGUACUGGUCUCACUGAUUCCUCCUUCCUGAUGAGCUGUAAUGCCAUUAAUUUGGUGUUGCAGGGAAUCUGGACUGUUACUUUGAAAAAAUUAGAGUGUUUAAAGCAGGCUAACGCUUGAAUACAUUAGCAUGGAAUAAUGAAAUAGGACGUUCGAUCCUAUUUUGUUGGUUUCUAGGAUUGACGUAAUGAUUAAUAGGGAUAGUUGGGGGCAUUAGUAUUCAAUUGUCAGAGGUGAAAUUCUUGGAUUUAUUGAAGACUAACUACUGCGAAAGCAUUUGCCAAGGAUGUUUUCAUUAAUCAAGAACGAAAGUUAGGGGAUCGAAGACGAUCAGAUACCGUCGUAGUCUUAACCAUAAACUAUGCCGACUAGGGAUCGGAUGAUGUUAAUUUUUUAAUGACUCAUUCGGCGCCUUACGGGAAAC